rnacentral:misc_RNA from 1 species
GUUCAGAAUGCGGGAGAUAUGCUUUGGCGUGGAUAUUUCUUCACGCAAUGCCUCAAGACGAGUGCAAGGGAAUUAUUUGAAUCACAUAGGAGUGGGAAGUAGACGUGGAGACCUGACAAUUGUAGCUGCAAGUCCUCCAACAGAGGAUGCUGUUGUUGCAGCAGAGCCGUUAACAAAAGAAGAUCUUGUAGGAUAUCUUGCUUCUGGAUGCAAAUCCAAAGAAAAGUGGAGGAUAGGCACUGAACAUGAAAAGUUUGGUUUCGAGUUUGGAACCCUGCGACCCAUGAAGUAUGAUCAAAUAGCUGACUUGCUAAAUGGUAUUGCUGAGCGGUUUGAUUGGGAAAAAGUAAUGGAGGGUGACAAGAUUAUUGGCCUGAAACAGGGAAAGCAAAGCAUAUCAUUAGAACCUGGUGGUCAGUUUGAGCUUAGU